rnacentral:lncRNA from 1 species
GUGCCUUGGAACACUAUGUUAAUUGCCUGGAUCUGGUAAACAAGAGGCUACCUUAUGGCCUUGCUCAGAUUGGAGUGUGUUUUCAUCCUGUUUUUGACACUAAGCAGAUACGAAAUGGUGUUAAAAGUAUUGGUGAGAAGACUGAAGCUUCGUUAGUAUGGUUUACUCCUCCGAGAACUUCAAACCAGUGGCUUGAUUUCUGGUUACGUCAUCGACUCCAGUGGUGGAGAAAGUUUGCCAUGAGUCCAUCUAACUUCAGCAGCAGUGACUGUCAGGAUGAAGAAGGCCGGAAAGGAAACAAACUUUACUACAAUUUUCCCUGGGGAAAGGAGUUAAUAGAAACCCUGUGGAACCUAGGAGAUCACGAACUUUUACACAUGUAUCCUGGCAAUGUGUCUAAAUUACAUAUGCAGAGACACUCACCUACAUAACUACAAUCCAGUCAUCAAAAUCAGGAAAUUAACAGUAAUCCACUAUUGCCACAGAGCCCUACAAAUUGAACUGAUUAUCUCAAUAAUGGCAUUUAUAGGUCCAAGAUCUUGUCUUUCAUGUAGUUGUCAUAUGCCUUUACACUCCUUCAAAUGAACAAUUCCUCUUGUCUUGCGUGACCUUGACA